GUAAAAUGGAUUCGUCUGCCCAAGGAUGGGUCUGCGGCCUAUCAGGUAGUAGUGGGUGUAAUGUACCUACUAGCCUACGACGGGUACGGGUUGUGAGAGCAAGAGCCCGGAGAUGGAUUCUGAGACAUGAAUCCAGGCCCUACGGGGCGCAGCAGGCGCGAAAACUUUACAAUGCGGGAAACCGUGAUAAGGGGACACCGAGUGCCAGCAUCCUAUGCUGGCUGUCCGGGUGUGUAAAAUACACCUGUUAGCAAGGGCCGGGCAAGACCGGUGCCAGCCGCCGCGGUAACACCGGCGGCCCGAGUGGUGAUCGUGAUUAUUGGGUCUAAAGGGUCCGUAGCCGGUUUGGUCAGUCCUCCGGGAAAUCUGACAGCUUAACUGUUAGGCUUUCGGAGGAUACUGCCAGACUUGGAACCGGGAGAGGUAAGAGGUACUACAGGGGUAGGAGUGAAAUCUUGUAAUCCCUGUGGGACCACCUGUGGCGAAGGCGUCUUACCAGAACGGGUUCGACGGUGAGGGACGAAAGCUGGGGGCACGAACCGGAUUAGAUACCCGGGUAGUCCCAGCCGUAAACGAUGCUCGCUAGGUGUCAGGCAUGGCGCGACCGUGUCUGGUGCCGCAGGGAAGCCGUGAAGCGAGCCACCUGGGAAGUACGGCCGCAAGGCUGAAACUUAA
rnacentral:rRNA from 1 species